GUUUUUUUGUUUAACUUCUAAGAUAUGUUCUUCUCCCUCGACUUCUCCCUCUGAACCAGAAACUCUCCUCGCCUCUCAUAUCUUCUAUCUUCUUUUCUUUCAUUUUGAGAAUAUGAUGAGAUCCCGUUGUUAGUGAAAAGAGGCAAAUUUGAUAAUGGAUGUUUCUGAUUUGAUUUGUGUUUAUGUUCUGUAUUUACUGAUCAAUAUCUCUUAUUUGGCCGGCCGAUUGGAGAAAUAAAAUAAAAAUCUCUUAUGUGUUUCCUAGGCCUGAUCUCUAUUUGCUAUUAUGUGAGUUUUAUUUGAUAAAAUAAAAUAAAAAUAGAUGUACUAAAAUUUGGUUGAUGUAUUUAUCUCGUCCUCUUAUUUUACUGACCUGCAACUGAAGGUUUAUUGACAAGCUCCGGUUUUGGAAAAUGCAUUUGCGUAAUACAAUAUGAGUUUGAUGUUCUAAAAGUUUUUGGUGUUACAGCUUCUGUGCUCAAAAUGAGGUUCCGUGUUUUUAUACAUACGUGGAAGUUCAUGACUUCAUAUUCUAGAUGAUAAGAAGCUGGGAUGUCAACUUGCCGUUAGAGAAGAUUUGAUUGGCCAAUCUGCAAAUGAUGCUGCUAAGGCUGAGACGGUUCUAUUAUUUCUGCCUCAAAAAAUCUAUUCUAUAUCUAUCUUACUCGUAUGAUUUUGAUUUUAUCAUCUCAUUCAUUGCUGGCUUCGUACCCUUUUUCCCUUUUCUAGCUUCCAAGUUGAAGUCUCAGGUCCCAUUGGUUAACAGAUGUUUACUGAUAAUUUUCGUCUGGAAAAUGUGAAAAUACUUGUAUUUCAUUCAAAUGGAAACUUGAUAUGAGGUACACGACAUUGUGACAAUGCCUCUGACAUGUUGAUAUAGAGAUAACUAUGAGUGAUCUUCGGAUUUCAAAAGAUUUUUGUUAUAGGGAAAGCUGAUUUAUUUAGGGGGAAAGCUAUUGUUAUUAGAUAUGUACAGGGGGAAAUAAUAGCUAUUGUUAUUAGAUAACUAUGAGAUAACUUGUUGCUGCUCUCUGCAUUACCCUAUUUAUUUCUUCCAUGUUUGAUUGUUCUUAGCAUCAAAAUGAAUAGCUUAAGAGAAUUACAACUUUAUAGGGCAACUAGACAUAUUAAAAACAAUUUGAAUGUCAACAUUUUAAAUUUCUGAACUGAAUGUGUUCGUAUAUUACGGUUGCAUGUGCUUUGCAUUUUUUCUGAAUAGUAACGAAGUUAACGUUCUGUUUAAUGAAGAUUUGAAAAUAUUAUCGGGGUUUAAUGUUCUGAGCAUUGGUUUCUUUUUAUAGCUUUAUUGGGUUCGUGUAGGCGAGUUGGAUGCAGGGAAAAAUUGGAUUAGUUGCGUAAGACAAUGUGAAUUUGGUGUUCUAAAGAUUUUUGGUGUUACUGCUUCUGUGCUCAAAAUGAGGUUCCGUGUUUUUAUAUAUUCGUGGAAGUUGAUGUUCUAGAUGAUAAGGAGCUGGGAUGUCAAUUUCCGUUAGAGACGAUUUGAUUGGCCAAUCUGCAAAUGAUGCUGCUAAGGCUGAGAUGGUUUUAUCAUUUCUGCCUCAAAACAUCUAUUCUAUAUCUAUGUUACUCGUAUGAUUUUGAUUUUGUCAUCUCUUUCAUUGCUGACUUCGUACCCGGAGGAAAAGGUUUUCCCUUUUCUAGCUUCAAAGUUUAAGUCUCAGGUCCCACUGGUUAACAAGUGUUUACUGAUAAUUUUUGUCUGGCAUAUUUGAAAAUAUUUGUAUGUCGUUCAUGGAAACUUGAUAAGGUAGACGACAUUGUGACAAUGCCUUUGACAUGUUAUAUGAGUGAUUUUUGGAUUUCAAAUAUCUAUUAGUAAUUUUCAAAGCUUCUACUCAGUAUCAUUUUCUAUGGUUCGUAUUGUGCAGUAUUUUGUGUUUUGCUUCUUUAAUUUUAUCAUUUUUGUGGAUGGGGAAACAUGUCGGCCGAAUCAUCACCAACUUGCAUUCUUAUAUAACAGUUCAGUUACUGCCAUUGACAUUUACAAGGGAUAUGAAGUUAUGUUGCAUUCUUACAUUCUUGCUCUUUUACCGCAGGUAAAUAUCAACGUUCUUUUAGAUGGAAAUGGGUUCGGAAGAAGAAGGAAUACCAUGCUCUACACAGUGCGUAGAGGAAGGACGACCGCACGACUAUUAACCGUAUAGGGUUAAUAUUUCUACAUCUAAUUUACACCAUUUUUGGAAGCACAGUGAUAUUAGAUGUACAGAUCUAACACAAUUCGACUUGUGCAGCAAGCUUUGAUAAGCAUGUUUAGAAUAUGACUGCACCAUCAAGGUCGCUUUCGAGCAACAAAUUAACUAAGACAACUUCACAGAUUAGAUAUCAGUAAUUUGGUUUAGCCUCGGGCCAGAAUAAGCUGCAUUUCUUAUCCUUGCGCUGCCGUUGAAGAGUUUUUAUUUCUUGUGAAGCACUACUGAGUCUGAAGGAAGGGUUUGUAUAAUCUUUUUAUUUUGAGGCUUGUCUUCUACAGAAAAUUUGGCCCAACCCCUCUAUUUACGUGAAAGUUGUUUUCCCUUUCUUCUUUUA